rnacentral:lncRNA from 1 species
UCGAACUCCUGACCUCAGGUUAUGUGCCCGCCUCGGCCUUCCAAAGUGCUGGGAUUACAGGCAUAAGCCACUGUGCCCGGCCUGAAGUCAAUCUAAGUGUGGUCAGCACUUAGAUGUAUAAGUACGUGUAUAGGAUGUAUAAGAUGUAUACUUAAAUGAGGGCAACAGGCUUAUACAACAUUUAGAUGUAUAAGUGCUGACAACAUUCCAUAUAUUAAGUGGAAAAUAUAGAAUAAUACAUAAAGAAUAAUACCAUUUUUGUUAAAUAUAUGCUAAUGUGACAAGAUACAAACAUUAAACUAUUCAAAUUUUUUGUAACUUUUAGUUUUGAGAUAAUUGUAGAUUUUCAUGCAGUUGUAAGAAAUAAUACAGAGAUUCCAUAUGCCCUGCACACAGUUUCCCCAGUCUUCUACACUAUUGUACAGUAUCACAACCGUGAAAUUGACAUUAAUAUACUUCAUCAACCUUAAUAAGAUGAAGCUAUUUUUAAUUAAUUUUUAUUUUUAUGAAAAUUAAAAUUACCAAAGUGCAGUGGUGUGCACCUGUGGUCUCAGCUAUCUGUGAAGCUGAGGAAGGAGGAUCGUUUGAACUCAGGAGGUCGAGGUUGCAGUGAGCUGUGAUUGUGCCACUGCAUUCCAGCCUGGGCAACAGAGCAAGACUCUAUCUCAGAAAACAUUUAUACAUGUACAUAGUUUAAAAAUUAGUGAUGAAGACUUAUUACUACUAAGUAUGAACAUACUAAUGUCCCAAUUGUCUAUUGCUGCAUGGCAAACCACCCUGAUAUGCACUGGGUGAAACCAACAACAAUUUUAUUAUACCUCAUGAUUUUACAGAUCAGGAAUUCAGGCAGGGCUUGGCUGAGUGACUUCUCUGUUCCACAUGGCAUUGACACGGUACGUUUCAGCUGGUGGCUGGCCUGGUCUGGUGGGUCCAAGGUAGCUUUGUUCACAUGCCUGCUGUCUUGGUGAGGUGGCCAGAAGUUUGGGCUGAGCUAGUUCUUUCUCUCUUUUUCUGCAGUCUCAGGGCCUCUCCAUGUGUUUUCUCGAGCAAUGUGUUUGGUCUUCUGGAAUUAUGAUUCAUGGAUUCAAGAGACCACGGUAGAAGCUUCUAAUCCUCUUAAAAAGCAAGACUGAUCAUGGGAAACUGUCCUGUCCACUAGUACAUUAUUUGUAAGUAGUAGAGGCCAGCCCAAAUUCUUAGGGAGGGAAGAUGAGCUCCAUCCCUCCAUGUGAAGGGUGUCAUUUGUGGCCAUCUUUAAUCUUCCACAGCUUAAAUGAAAAACAGAAGCCCUCACUCAUCCUUCACUUCUCCUGAUGCCUGUUCCCCUGAGGCAACCACUUUCAGCUGUCCAACUGCUUAUGUUGGUGUUUAACGCCAUGUUUUUGAACAACAUGGCUAUGCUGCCAUUUCCCUGGAUUUAUCAAUUUCAGACACUGGCUUCUUUUCAGAGUAGAUGGCGUCUUACCUCAAUCUUUCUCCUUCUCUCUAAUCUCUCUCUCUGUAUGUCUCUUUCUUGCCCCCUUACACACACACAUACACACACACACACACACACUCUCACGUAGACACACACACAGAUACACACAUACACAGGCACACACACUUUCCCUUCUCUGAUUACCGCAAAUACAGCAAUGUCAUAAUUUGGACAAUAUUAUGUAAUCUACUAAUUCUAUUUCCUCCUGGAGACCAAACCUCUCUUCCAGAGCUUUCUGCCCUCCUGCUGCAGUCUAGACUGGGUUCUCUAGGCCUGUGGCUGUCAGCUGUCAUGCCGGGCCUUCUCUUCAUUCUUAUUCUGGGAAGUCUCUUUGUCUCUUUCCUGGGUUGGGGCCCCUGUUUGUCUGAAUCCCUUAUUUUCUCUUUUUUGGUUAACUACCUUGUUUUACUGUAGAUAAUCUAUUUUGGCCCCCAAACUCAUCUUGGGUUUGUCUCCUUCCUUCCUUCCUUUCUUCCUUCCUUCCCUCCUCCUCCUCCUGCUUUUCUUUCUUUUUUCUCUUUCUUUCUUUCUCUUUCUUUCUUUCUUUCUUUCUUUCUUUCUUUCUUUCUUUCUUUCUUUCUUUCUUUCUUCUUUCUCUCUUUGUCUUCCCUUCUUUCUUUUCUUCCUUCCUUUCCCUUCCUUCCUUCCUUCCUUCCUUCCUUCCUUCCUUCCUUCCUUCCUCCUUCCUUCAAGCUUUCUUUCUUUUUCUUUCUUCUUUCUCUCUCUCUGGAAGUCAUUUGUCCUGUUGGGCAUAGGAGGACGGUAGUAGUGAAUGUUUGGGCAACCUUCUUUAGCAUGGAAAGCAAACCUCUCCCUUCUCUUUCAGAAAUGGGAGAUCUGGAAAUACUGUUUCUGGAGAAAGCUCUUCCUGACCUUGAGGAAAGGAAUCAAUGCUCUGGGGUCCAGGUUUAAUGGAUUAUCAUUCCUGUUAGCCAUUAAUAGCUACUGUGUCAGAAAAAGAGAAAAUAGAAUUUUUCUUCAGUGGCAACAGGAGAAAGGGGACGUAGGUUAAAUUGGCUGAGGAAGGGGGGAGAAGUGUAUGUGUGGAAGUGAACACAAGGGCUAGCAGGGAGGUCACUGCCAGAGAAGUUCCAUGCCCCACCCUGAUGGUCCUGGUCUGUAUUGGGAGCUUCGGUGCUGGCCUUAAGCGUACUGCAGGUGAACGACAGCCACUGUGGGUGCCCAGCUGAGUCCUCUUUCCUUUACUCCGCAGCAAUCAGAGGAAGCUACUCUCUGAUUUGUAACCUACUUCUGUCUCCAGGACAACCAUAAGACCAAAGGACUCCUUGGACACCUAGUCAGGAGGGUGGUGAGUUGAACUGAGCAAGCUUGAGCAUCUCAAACUGAAGUGGACACUUGCGCUUUAUACAGAGUAAGGCCCAAAUUGAAUUAACCUGGAGUGAGUCUGCAACAAGCCUAGCGUCUGCAUUUCUAUAACUGAUCUCAGCUAACACUGGAGCUACUUAAAUUCCCAAUGAUUUUAGAAAACUAUUUUUUUUAAAGUGUGUGAUUUGAAGGUAAAUGAACCUAUUCCAAUUUAACUGCUUUAUUUUUGUGGUUGCAUAUAUAAUCAUAUUUAAGCAAUUUAAAAUCCAAACUCCCUUUUGGAGCUGUUUUAUUUUCUGAAGGGUCUUCCUUCCUUUUUCUUAUGCCCAAGAUGGUGUCUGGGUGCAGAAGGAAGCUUAUUUACCUUCCGGCUUUGGGGAAGGGCUCCUUACCCAAGUGAUGUGGUUCUCUCGUUUCCCUGUUGAUCACCAGCUGAGAUAUGUACUCACCUCACUUGACUUCUAUCCUCACUGUGUCUGCUGAUAAAAUGUCAGUUUUGUCCUCCAUUAGCUUUCUGGCCUGCCUGUGUAACCCAAGGCCUUCAGUGUCAUCUCACCUCUCUCUGUAGUGACCCAAAGGCAAGUUCAUAGAUUCCUGACUCUUGGCUAGCUUCUAUGACUUUUUCUAGGAACAAGUAGGAGCUUCUGGCUCUUUUCUAUACUGCAAGGGAAAGUGUAGUAAACUUGAGGAUGGCUAAUACAGUCCCCUCUAACAACUCAUGCUUCUUUCUCCUCCACUGCAAACACACAUGCUGGUUUAGGCCAGCAGGCACUAUGUGUGGUGUGGUGGUCUGCCCUCUGUCCCAGACAGGAAUUGCAGUGCCUGAGGGCCUUUUUCCACCCAGGGCACAACUCGCCAGUUUGAAGUUUCUAGCUUAUCUAUCUUCUCUGCCUCAUUUCUGGCUCCACAUUCAACCCCUCCACUGGCUAAAUCUUAGGGGUCCAGAGUGGGACCACUGAGAUCCUAAAGAAUCCAGGCAGGGCGUGCACUUUGCUCCCUGCUAAGCUCUCCUGCUGCUCAGGAGGGGUGUGUGCCCUCUCCUCAAUCUGGUAGAUACUUCUUUCAUCAUUGGUUUUGAAAUCCUCCACUGAUGACUUUGUUGUUCUGGGUGUUUCCUCUGUCCUCUCCUCUCAUAUCUUAAUGGUGGAUAGGGUUUUAGGGAUUAAAAAAUCUCUGGAUUACUGAAAGGAAAAAUGUUUAGAGAGGCAUUUAAGAUGAUUUUUCUUAUUAUCACUUUUAAACCCACACUGAAGGUCUAGGUCCUAUACCUGUUCUGUUGGAAUCUUGGCCAAUCUCACAGUUUUUCUGGUCAUUCUUAGAAUAGUUAUAAUGGCCUUUGUUUAAAAAACAAUUUCAUAUGAAAACUAAAAUAUGCAGGUCAGCAUAAUAAUCAAACCCUUAUACUCUUACCUAAAUGUCAUUACGUAGGUUUCCCCCAAACAUCACCUCCUCAGGGAGGCUUUCUCUGACCAUUAAAUGUAGCCUCAUGGAAGUUCUAGGCAACCUUUGCCAUUUCCUGUUGUAACACCUUGAUUUAGUUCACUUAACAUAUACAUAUUGGGGGCUUACUACGUGGCAUCCAGAAUUAUUCUAGGCACUAGGAAUAUCACAAUAAAUAAGACAGAGCCGGUCCUUUACCUAGUGGAAGGACACAAGCACUAGACAAACAAUUAAAUGAGCAAGAAAAAUAUCAUUUAGCAGCAUGUGCUAUGCAGAUAAUUUUGUUUUUUGAGACAGAGUCUCAC